AUUGAACGCUGGCGGCAGGCCUAACACAUGCAAGUCGAACGAGUGGCGGACGGGUGAGUAAGGUCUGGGAAACUGCCCGAUGGAGGGGGAUAACUACUGGAAACGGUAGCUAAUACCGCAUACCAUCGGAUGUGCCCAGAUGGGAUUAGCUAGUAGUUGGGGUAAUGGCUCACCUAGGCGACGAUCCCUAGCUGGUCUGAGAGUAUGACCAGCCAGACUGGAACUUAGACACGGUCCAGACUCUUACGGGAGGCAGCAGUGGGGAAUAUUGCACAAUGGGCGCAAGCCUGAUGCAGCCAUGCCGCGUGUAUGAAGAAGGCCUUCGGGUUGUAAAGUACUUUCAGCGGGGAGGCGUUACCCGCAGAAGAAGCACCGGCUAACUCCGUGCGAGAAGCCGCGGUAAUUC
rnacentral:rRNA from 1 species